AUAUGGUAGGAGAGCGUUCUGUAAGCCUGCGAAGGUGUCUUGUAAAGGAUGCUGGAGGUAUCAGAAGUGCGAAUGCUGACAUGAGUAGCGAUAAUGGGGGUGAAAAGCCUCCACGCCGUAAGCCCAAGGUUUCCUGUUCAACGUUCAUCGGAGCAGGGUGAGUCGGCCCCUAAGGCGAGGCAGAGAUGCGUAGCUGAUGGGAAGCAGGUUAAUAUUCCUGCACCGUCGUAUGAUGCGAUGGGGGGACGGAUCGCGGAAGGUUGUCUAGCUGUUGGAAUAGCUAGUUUUUGACUCAUAGAAGGUACUUAGGCAAAUCCGGGUACG
rnacentral:rRNA from 1 species